CUCUUUUAUGUCGGAAUGGUUGGAACCAUUGCGCACCAUUGUGUAUAUUGUACAUGAGAUGAGAACACUGCUGUGUUCGCGGUGGCAAGAUAUUGCAACUAAAAAGCCAGUAUGUACAUAUAUGUACUUUUGGCUCCAUUACAAUUUCCUACAUUACCUAACUUCGAUAACACGGUAUUUAAUUGAAAGUUAUCCACUUGUGCACCGUGAAAUUAUUACAGAAGGGUUAUUACAUAGUUAGAACGCUCCAAGCUCCAAACCUGAGACAGUACGUUGCUGACGAUCAUUUGUAAAUAUUAACGCACGAACAGAUGGGGAGGUUGCACCAAGGGUAGGAGAAUAGUGGGAUCACUUUGCUUGUUGGAGUAUGGCGAUAAACAAGCGAGAAAAUUUUCACGCAAACCCGAUCUGUCUCAAACGUUGGAUUUCCAACAUUUUCUGGUUCUCGUCAUUAUGAGAAUAAAAAAAUAUUGUUUGCAAAAUAACACAUAUUUAUUGACUAAUAUUUUCAAGUUCUUCCAAAAAUGUUUUACAUUUUCCCUUAAGAAUUUUUAUACCUUCUGUGAAUAAUACAGCUGGUGGUAAAGUUCCCACAGAUUCGAUAGUAACUAUAAUAAAAUAAUGUUAUUAAUAAUAUGCUGUAUAUAGAUUAUAUGCAAUAUAUAGAAAUAUUACUUACAAAUCACAUGAUUUCGUACUCUACUUAAGCGUACACACGAUUUAAGGUCAUCAUGUUGAAAUACAUUCCUAGAACAACUAUCGUAA